rnacentral:rRNA from 1 species
AUUGAACGCUGGCGGAAUGCUUUACACAUGCAAGUCGAACGGCAGCACGGACUUCGGUCUGGUGGCGAGUGGCGAACGGGUGAGUAAUACAUCGGAACGUGCCCAAUCGUGGGGGAUAACGUAGCGAAAGCUACGCUAAUACCGCAUACGAUCUAAGGAUGAAAGCGGGGGAUCGCAAGACCUCGCGCGAUUGGAGCGGCCGAUGGCAGAUUAGGCAGUUGGUAGGGUAAAGGCCUACCAAGCCGACGAUCUGUAGCUGGUCUGAGAGGAUGAUCAGCCACACUGGGACGGAGACACGGCCCAGACUCCUACGGGAGGCAGGAGUGGGGAAUUUUGGACAAUGGACGCAAGUCUGAUCCAGCCAUUCCGCGUGCAGGAUGAAGGCCCUCGGGUUGUAAACUGCUUUUGUACAGAACGAAAAGGCUCUGGUUAAUACCUAGGGCUCAUGACGGUACUGUAAGAAUAAGCACCGGCUAACUACGUGCCAGCCGCCGCGGUAA